GACGAACGCUGGCGGCGUGCUUAACACAUGCAAGUCGAACGGAGUGGCGAACGGGUGAGUAACACGUGGGUGACCUGCCCUGCACUUCGGGAUAAGCCUGGGAAACUGGGUCUAAUACCGGAUAGUGUGGGAUGGGCCCGCGGCCUAUCAGCUUGUUGGUGGGGUAAUGGCCUACCAAGGCGGCGACGGGUAGCCGGCCUGAGAGGGGGGACGGCCAAAAUGGGGCGGCGGCACCGGCCAGGCUCCUACGGGGAGCAGGAGUGGGGAAUAUUUCCCAAUGGGCGGGAGCCUGGUGCAGCGGCGCCGGGUGGGGGAUGACGGCCUUCGGGUUGUAAACUCCUUUCACCAUCGACGCGGUAGAUGGAGAAGAAGCACCGGCUAACUACGUGCCAGCAGCCGCGGUAAUUC
rnacentral:rRNA from 1 species